rnacentral:rRNA from 1 species
GACGAAGGGGGCUAGCGUUGCUCGGAUUGACUGGGCGUAAAGGGCGCGUAGGCGGUUCGUACAGUCAGACGUGAAAUCCUGGGCUCAACCUGGGGGCUGCGUUUGAUACGUGCGGACUUGAGUGCGGAAGAGGGUCGUGGAAUUCCCAGUGUAGAGGUGAAAUUCGUAGAUAUUGGGAAGAACACCGGUGGCGAAGGCGGCGACCUGGUCCGAUACUGACGCUGAGGCGCGAAAGCGUGGGGAGCAAACAGG